GACGAACGCUGGCGGCGUGCCUAAUACAUGCAAGUAGGACGAAGUUGCGAACGGGGGAGUAACGCGUAGGUAACUACCUAUUAGAGGGGGAUAACUAUUGGAAAAGAUAGCUAAUAACGCAUACUAGUAGAUGGACCUGCGGUGUAUUAGCUAGUAGGGAGGGUAAUGGCCUACCUAGGCAAAGAUACAUAGCCGACCUGUAGGGGGGGUCGGCCACCACUGGAAUUGGGCACGGCCCAGGAUCCUACGGGAGGGCUCCGUAGGGUAUCUUCGGCAAUUGGGGGAACCCUGACCGAUCAACGCCGCGUGAGUGAAGAAGGUUUUCGGAUCGUAAAGCUCUGUUGUUAAGGAAGCGGUACUUAACCAGAAAGGGACGGCUAACUACGUGCCAGCAGCCGCGGUAAUUC
rnacentral:rRNA from 1 species